rfam:Myotis lucifugus cont2.15615, whole genome shotgun sequence.
CAUGCACCAGUGGGGUCCCUCGGCCUGGCCUGCACCCUCUUGCAAUCUGGGACCCCUUUGGGGUUGUUAGAGAGCUGGUUUUGGCCCGAUCCACAGGCCAGGCCGAGGGACCCCACUGGUGCACG